rnacentral:lncRNA from 1 species
UUUUUUUUUUUUUUGCCUUUCUAGGGCAUAUGGAGGUUCCCAGGAAAAUAAUGUUACCAAUCACCUGCGUGACAUACCUCUAGAAUACCUUCCUACUUUGUCUGCUUCAUACAUUCGAAUAAUCUUGUCGUGUGCCCAGGAUCCUGAAAAAUCUCCUACAGAGAACUAAAAAAUAAUUCAGUCUUUCCUCUAGCAAAUUGAAAAAUAGUUCUGUUAUUGAUGGUUUAGGAAAGUUUUUUUCUCGGCUUCACAACUACAGGACAAUUACUGGCAAUGAAAAGUUUAGGACUAUUGCCAAAUUUGGGAAACCUCUACUGACCCUCCCCCGUAAGACCUGGAAGAACUUUCUAGACACUGUUUCUGACACUAUUUCCACCCCUGCUCUUCCUCCACCACCCACACACUUUCAGUGGCAGGUGCCACAGGACCUACUCACACCAGGACACACCCUGGCUGGUGAGUCAGCACCGCCGGCAGUGGGAAGGCUGGGACUGCUGGGAAUAACCCCACCGCAUAAACACACACAACUGACACACCAUUGGUGCCCAGCCAAAUGCGUCCUCAAUUCAGCUUCCCUCAGCUAGACCCCCAAAAAGUCAUGACCACUCCAUCGCCACCCAGCACAGGAGGAAGCUGGACAGAGGAGAAAGUCUAGGGGAAAGAGAGAGCGAUCUUACUGCCCAUGGUUAUACUGUCUUCUUUCGCGCACAUUAGGGAAAGCACGUGCCUGUGCAAACACAGUGCCAGUGAGAAGCCCCAAGGUUUAAGCUCUGGUCUAAACCCUCUGCUGCAGGACCGGCAAGGGGCCAUCAGGCAGGGACAUUUGUUGGCUCAGGAAUCAAGACCCUGGACUCAGCACAUUAUCCCCGGUAAGUGAUGAGACUCUGAGGCAAAGAUGGGGCGAACUUCACUUUGAUCCCUGGAAGAACUAGAGAGAACGUGACAUCUGUCCCUUGGGGAAAGAUUAAGUUCAUAUGACAACUCGGCUCUCCCUUUCAGUAUCUCCCCAAAGUGACUGUCACAAAGCUAAGCCACUGACCCAUUCUUUAGAUGCACGUGCUCAAAGGUCCCUUCCUCCUCCCUUGCUCCUGUCAUAAAGAAGGUUCCAAGGAGAACAGAAUUGGGGUUGCCAAGGGGGAGAGGCAAGGGGAGGGAUGGAGUGGGAGUUAGGGAUUGGCAGAUGCAAACUAUUACACAUACGAUGGAUAAACAAGGUCCUACUGUAUAUAGCACAGGGAGCCAUAGUCAAUAUCCUGUGAAAACCCAUAACGGAAAAACAUAUGAAAAAGAAUAUAUAUAUACAUAUAUAUAUGUAUGUAUGUUUAACUGAGUCACUUUGCUGUACAGCAGAAACUAACAAAACACUGUAAAUCAACUAUACGUCAAUUAAAUUUUUUUAAAAAUAAAAAACAUGUAACACCAACUGAUCCACAUAAACAUUUAAUUGCACUUCAAUUUCUAAAAAUUUUUUAAUAUGUGAUUUUUUUACAUGAAUUCUGAGCUGAAGGGCAAACGUAGUAGAAAAAGAUGACUGAAAUACUUCCCCUUAUUUCAGGAAGGAUCUCCUAAAACACAGGUUUCAUUGUGCUAGAGUCUUGGAGAUAUGACAUGCUCAAGGAUCUUGGAGAUAAAUCGGUACCAAGACAUAGUAAAGCAAAAUUCUACUGUGAAAGGAAAGGAAAGGAAAAAGGGAAAAGAAAAGAGAAAAGAAAAGCACCAAGUAUACCAAUGGAAGUUACGUGCAGGGACCCCGCAUGUCUCUGCCAGAGCUGAAAUUACUCACCUGCAGUCAGCAGUGCGGCUCUGACACUGGUCAGAAGCCCCUGGAGAGCUACGAAGAAACCAGCCUAACACAAGGUGCCUCAGGACCCUCCCGCUGGAGCAGGGACACGGCCACCGCAGGCUGGCCAGGGCGGGUGUCUUACCUCAUCGUACAUGAACUGGAGCGUCAGUGCCGACUUGCCGACCCCGCCACUGCCGACCAUGAUCACCUUGUGAAGGGCCAAGGAGCUCUGGCUCUUACUCUUGUUGGCAGCCAUCCUGCUGGUUUUCUGAGGUCACGAAACACGGACAGAGGACCCAGUGGAAGAGCUGCCAGUGAAGACAACAAAGACUCUGAGGCGGGUGCCUUUUCACUCCAGUGAAAUCAAACGUGAACCAUCCGCUCCAGAAAAGCCCAACCCACCGGUCCGACAGAGAGGUCAUUCUUCCAGGCUCCAGGCAGAGACAGAAGCCCUCCAGCAUCUCUGGCAGUCACUGCCCAGAGCAGCGCCAGGACCAGAGCGAGGGUGAGGCAGAGAGAAGAAGGUGUGUGUGCAUCCAUCGCCCAUCACCAAACCAGCACACCCGCCACAGAGCUGCACUGACACGGGGGACCAGACAGAGACCCCACGUCACCUGUGCCACAGGGACCUCACAGGGACCUCAGUCCCAUCCCUUUAUUUACACCGCCCCCUCCCACGUAUGUUCAACACACACACCCUCACACGGCCUUCCGGGGGACCAAAGCGGAACUCUGAGAAUGGUUAAGUCAACGUGCUUUUAAUAACAAGCAUCCCUUCGUGACAUGCGACAUAUAGGAAAACUAAAUUAUUCACUCCACAUUCAUUUACAUCGGCGAACUAAAAUGAGUUACACUUUUCUAAAAUAAUAGUCUAUUCUGGAGUUCCAUGGUGGCUCAGUGGGUUAAGGAUCCAGUGUCGUCACUGCAGUGGCAUGGGUUGCUGCAAUGGUGCAGUUUCAAUCCCUGGCCCUGGAAUUUCCUCAUGCCACGGAUGCAAACAUUAGUAAGUCAUUAAUUAACAACCUAUUAGUCAAAAUCAGUUUUAACCUCAUCAGAAGUGAAAUCGAAUGAGCAGAACAGAGCAACCUUGGUGGUGUGGGAAGAGAAAGUAUUCCAGAGUUCCCAUCGUGGCGCAGCAGAAACGAAUCUGACUAGUGUCCAUGAGGACGCAGGUUCAAUCCCUGGCCUUGCUCAGUGGGUUAAGGAUCUGGUGUUGCCGUGAGCUGUGGUGUAGGUCACAGACUCAGCUCAGAUCAAGCAUUGCUGUGGCUGUGGCGCAGGCUGGCACCUGCAGCUCUAAUUCAACUCCUAGCCUGGGAACCUACAUAUGCCGUGGGUGCGGCCCUAAAAAAACAAGAGAAUAUACAUAUAAGAGAAAGUAUUCCAAAUAAGUACAUUUAACAAGUGCCUGAAACUUACUCUAACCCAUGUGCCAAUUUUUAUUUUAGGCAACUUGUUCGGAAAGUCUCUUUCACACCUGCUCCAGCAUAAGGAAAAAGGGCCUGGGCUCAGGCACAUCUUAGGCCCAAGUCUGGUUCUCUCAUUUGCCAGACGCGCAACCUACAUGCCAGUUACUCAGUUUCUCCAGGCCGGUUUCCUGAUCUGCAGACAAGUGAACUAACUACCCUGUGGGAUUUUUUAGAGUAAUAAAUGAGACAACAGGUGAAAGACCGAAGCACUGUGCCUGGCACACAGUAGCAACUUAAGAAAGGCUGGUUUUCUUCCUAUCUAAUUUUAAGAGAAUUUUUUUUUUUCAAAUUACAGCAUGAUGAGCAGUUAUUUCCAUUACUUCUGACAAAGUAACCUGAAAAUACCCCCAGUGGAAAAAAAAACAAACAUGGAAAAAUUAAAAAAUAAAGAUGGAAAUACACAUCUUUUUUUCUUUUUUUGCUUUUUAGGGCAUCUGCGACCUAUGCCACAGCUCACAGCAACGCCGGAUCCUUAACCGAGUGAGUGAGGCCAGGGAUUGAACCCACGUCCCUAUGGAUUGUAGUUGGGUUCAUUACCGCUGUGCCACGAUGGGAACUCCUACAGCAUCAUUUUAAAUCAGCGCUCUCCAUCCUUGGUGGCAUGAUGCAACCCCUGGGCAGCUUUAAAAACAACCCCAGAGAUCCUGAUGGAAUUUGGUCUGGGAUGGCUGGCAUGUCUGGGAUCACAGCCUGGACAUGGGAAUGUCUAAAAGCUUCCCUGGUGAUGACAGCAGGCCUCCCAGGUUGAGAACUCCUAUUAAAUGCUCCGCUGAGCUCAAAAGGAAGUAAGAAAUCCCCGUGCUGGGGAGGAAAAAAAUCAGAGCAGUGAGAGCUGGUAUCUCUUCAGUCCUAGAUGGCUAUUAUUCUUAGUACCUUAGGAUUUAACAAACAAAACAUACAGGGAGAGGAAACUGGACACCCAUGCCAGGUGAGAGGUCGAAUGGAGACCUCCUCUCAUUUGAGAACUGAGAAGCCAAGGCUCUUGACAGAAGACACCUUCAGGUAAAGAAUGAACCAGCCAAACAUCGGUCCACUAUCAGGGAGGAAGAAACUUCCUCUACCCUUCCGGGUGCUGCUGGCGCUUCUAAGAAUUAAAUUAACGUGAGACAGAUUAACAGGAGAAAAUCCCAGAAACGUUUUAUAACAUGUAGACAUGGGAGCAACCCAGGAAAACUGAGUAACCUGCCCAAAUGGCCAAAGCCCUCACCUUAAACGCCGUCCUCAGCUAAAGGCAAAAGAGGAUGUUGAGGGUGGGGAGAGUCAGUUAUGAGACAUGAGCAGAGAAAGUCCAGUAAACAAGGGUAAGGUUGUUAUGCAAGUUUAACUCCUUGCCUUCUCCACUGAUAAGAGCUUCUAGAGGUUCGGCCGCCCUCCUGUUCCUGGUACAGCACAGGAGACGCCCUUACAAAUGAAGCUAUAUACCUUAUAUAUGUCAGUGUUUCCUGCAAAUGUUUAGCUCCUGCUUGGUUUUUCAGAAUGUUUUUCCAUGUCUGCUGUUUCCUGGGAAAAAAACUAGCUUAAAACGAGUAAUAUGCUGGAGUUUCCCUUGUGGCACAGCGGAAAUGAAUCCGACUAGGAACCACGAGGUUGCAGGUUCAAUCCCUGGCCUUGCCCAGUGGGUUAAGGAUCUGGCGUUGUUGUGAGCUGUGGUGUAGGUCACAGACACGGCUCGGAUCCUGCAUUGCUGUGGCUGUGGUGUAGGCUGGCAGCUGUAGCUCUGAUUCGACCCCUAGACUAGAACCUCUGUAUGUUGCAGGUAUGGCCCUAAAAAAAAAAAAAAAACAAACAAACAGUAAUAUGCCACAGAACUCUGUUUUGGGGAUGGUAAAUUCUGCUCCCCUGUACCCCCAGCAGGGGAGGACAACAAGGACGCUUGUCUGCCUGGACCCUGCCUACAGCAAAGUGCACCCUGAAACUCUGUAAGCACAGCAUUCCUCCACAACUAAGGAAUCAACAUAAAAAGUAAUCUCAGGCUGCUCGUGGUGCUGCAGCAUGAGACAGAUGCUAAAUGCAGCAAAGACAGCUCAGGAUUCCUACAACCAAACCCCACAAAGAGGAGACCACAGGUCCAACCCACGGAACACCUAAGAAAAUAACCAUGCAGGAGAGCUGGCAUCCCUCACAAGUAGGACUUUUCAGACAGCCAUGAUAAAAAAGAUUAUUUGACUGUUUUUAACAAAGACAAAACCAGACUGUGAGGAAAACUGCAUUAUCAAAAGGCCAAGAGUUGGGAGUUCCCUAAUGGCUUGGUGGGUUAAGGAUCUGGCAUCAUCACUGCCGUAGCUCAGGUUCCCUCCCAGGCCCCGGGAACCUCCCCAAGCCAAAGGCUGGCCUGGGGGGAGAAAAAGAAAAAAGAAAAAAAUCCCAUCACCCAGAGAUAUUCACUAUUGACAGUGAAUUUCAUGCUUGUAUUUUAAUCUAUAUAUUCUUACAUUUCAAUCCAUAUAAUUCUUUCUAUAUUUAAAACCUUUUGGAGAUCAUAUUUGUAUGGUUUUGCAUGUUAUUUUUCACAUAUUAUCUAUCUGUCUUCUUAAAUGGGGAAGACUGAACACAAACCUUUUCUGGCUGAUUUAAGACUCAGUGUCACUGAAAAUCAGUCAGGUGACCAGCCUUGGCUUCUCUGAGUGG